rnacentral:rRNA from 1 species
AUUGAACGCUGGCGGCAGGCCUAACACAUGCAAGUCGAGCGGAUGAAGGGAGCUUGCUCCUGGAUUCAGCGGCGGACGGGUGAGUAAUGCCUAGGAAUCUGCCUGGUAGUGGGGGAUAACGUCCGGAAACGGGCGCUAAUACCGCAUACGUCCUGAGGGAGAAAGUGGGGAACCUUGGACCCCCAGGUAUCAGGUGGAGCCUAGGUCGGAUUAGCUAGUUGGUGGGGUAAAGGCCUACCAAGGCAACGAUCCGUAACUGGUCUGAGAGGAUGAUCAGUCACACUGGAACUGAGACACGGUCCAGACUCCUACGGGAGGCAGCAGUGGGGAAUAUUGGACAAAGGGCGAAAGCCUGAUCCAGCCAUGCCGCGUGUGUGAAGAAGGUCUUCGGAUUGUAAAGCACUUUAAGUUGGGAGGAAGGGCAGUAAGUUAAUACCUUGCUGUUUUGACGUUACCAACAGAAUAAGCACCGGCUAACUUCGUG